AGUGAACGCUGGCGGUAGGCCUAACACAUGCAAGUCGAACGGCAGCACAGUAAGAGCUUGCUCUUACGGGUGGCGAGUGGCGGACGGGUGAGGAAUACAUCGGAAUCUACUUUUUCGUGGGGGAUAACGUAGGGAAACUUACGCUAAUACCGCAUACGACCUACGGGUGAAAGCAGGGGAUCUUCGGACCUUGCGCGAUUGAAUGAGCCGAUGUCGGAUUAGCUAGUUGGCGGGGUAAAGGCCCACCAAGGCGACGAUCCGUAGCUGGUCUGAGAGGAUGAUCAGCCACACUGGAACUGAGACACGGUCCAGACUCCGACGGGAGGCAGCAGUGUGGAAUAUUGGACAAUGGGCGCAAGCCUGAUCCAGCCAGACCGCGUGGGUGAAGAAGGCCUUCGGGUUGUAAAGCCCUUUUGUUGGGAAAGAAAAGUAGCAGGUUAAUACCCCGCUGUUCUGACGGUACCCAAAGAAUAAGCACCGGCUAACUUCGUG
rnacentral:rRNA from 1 species